GGUCCGAUGGUGUAGUUGGUUAUCACACUCGCUUCACAAGUUCAAACUUUGUUUGCAACUGGCGUCCACAAGAGGAUGCCUUGCUUCGGCCCGGCGAUCGCGAGAGGUCAUGAGUUCGAGCCUCAUUCGGAUCA